UGCGUGUCAGGGCCAUCUCUGCUAUGAACCCUUAUCUUCGUGUCAACCGCAUUUAUGUUAACUCGGAUGAUAAAAAGGUCAGAGGCACAAUUUAUUUUCUUCGAUUUACCCAUAAAGUCGCCAAAUGGCUACAGGAGACUGGUUAUACUUACAUCAUGACAAAGAAUAUAUUGAAGAAGUUGAUAUGCAUAGCAGAUCUACGGACACAGGUUGCAGGUUUCCUGUAUGGGCUGAGUCCACAGGAUAAUCCCCAAGUCAGGGAGAUGAGAUGCAUAUCCAUUCCGCCACAACAUGGAAGUCACCAAUGGUGACUUUGCCAGCGAAUAUCCCAGGGCAUGAGUUCCUUGCUGACUUGGAGCCGUUGGGACCUAGUCGAAUGGAGCUCCUCAGCUAUCACCUCAAGUUUGUCUCCUACCAUUUGUAUCUUCAAAUGUAACCUUGUGAUUCUUAUCCAAAAUCAAAAUUACAUACUCCCUCCGAUCCAUAUUAAUUGUCGCUGAUUUAGUCCAAAUGUCCAAGGAGUAGCUGAAUUGGAGUGCACAAUUCUAUAAUUCCUGAUCAAGCAGAUUUAUCUCUUUCCAUGAGUGGCUAAUUGUCUCUCCUUGGACAUUUGAAUUCUGAAUGUGAAUAUUAAAAUCAUCUUAUACAAAAUUUAAUCUUUCCAACUCACACUGCACUGUACAUACAAAUUUAUUAUUGUUGAUUCUUUUGUUUCUUGCACAUUUUACAAGUGACUUUUUUUUCCUGGGAUAGUUUCAGUGCCGAAUUAUUCGUUCUGUUGUUUUUGGCACAUUCUGGUAGUAUAGUCCAUUUUUGCCUGUGAACCAGUGUCUCCACUGAACUGUAUUCUGUAGUUUCUUUCUUCACAUUCUGUUGUUUCUUUCUUGCACAUAGAGUCUCAUAUACUGAACUGUUCGUUCUGUUGUUCCUUGCAGGAUUUGGCAUGACAUGCUAAAAUUUUGGAGAAGAACGAGGCGUGGCAUGGUGAAAAGGGCAUCAUUUUGACCUGCCCGUGAACAUCUUGGGUCAGUGGUUAUGCUUGCGAGAAGAAAAAACCUAUCAGGGUCAGUGGUCAUCACUUGUCAAACUGAAUCGUUAUCGUCAAGUGGAUGUUUUUCUUGGUGUUAUCAUCCUUUUACUCGUUGAUACUUUGUGAUUUGAGCUUCUUUAUUGAAGCUUAAUGUGUUAUGUCCGUCUGGUUGCUCUUCUUAAAAUUGGAGCACUUGCAGAUUUCUGUUGCUAGGUUAAGUUUACUUUGUCGGUCAGUGUUUGGUUAUAUAUGUUUCAGUCAGUCAGUUUUAUGCCUGAGAGCAAAUCAGUUGUUCUGGACCUGAUCAAACCUCAGCUAUUGCUUGAGCCAGUUCUGGGAUGGUGACCCCUUGAAGAGUCUGGUCAAAGCAAGCCAGUACUGCAGCAUCAACAUUACUACUGUAACCAUCUUGGCACUGACGAUGGCUUUGCUGUUCCGAGCCUCGUUGCGUACGUGAGUCCCAUGGAAACCGACACCUGACAGCAAUAGCAGUGGAUGUUUCUUCUUCUUUGAGACUAAAGUUGUUUUGAUAGUAACUUGGAUUAUGAGCGCCU
rnacentral:lncRNA from 1 species